AUUACUAAUGAUAUAUGAUUCUGUGAGAAGUUUGACUGUACAUAUUUUGAAAUACCGCAAUUUAUGUAAUUUUUGUCAAAAUUUGAACUUGCAAAAAAAAAAACACUUCGCAUGAUGGUUGAGCUACUGUUAUACUUAAGAAGUUCGAAAGGUAAAAGGAAAAUUUUGUGUAACUUCAAAGAUUAGUCACUGCUAACUAAAAACAAUUCUGUACAAAGUUUAAUUAUAAAUGUUUUGAAAAACCGUUAUAUAUAUACGAUUUGGAGUCCUAAAAGACAUGCUACAUUGUUAAAAUAGGUUAUUUCAAUUUUUAGAUAAUUACAUAAUUGAUGUACUAUGAGCUUCCAAUCU